UAGUCCACGCCGUAAACGAUGGUUACUAGCUGUUAGGUUUUCAGACUGAGUGGCUAAGCGAAAGUGAUAAGUAACCCACCUGGGGAGUACGUUCGCAAGAAUGAAACUCAAAGGAAUUGACGGGGGCCCGCACAAGCGGUGGAGCAUGUGGUUUAAUUCGAUGAUACGCGAGGAACCUUACCAGGGCUUAAAUGUAGAUUGACAGGUUUAGAGAUAGACUUUUCUUCGGACAAUUUACAAGGUGCUGCAUGGUUGUCGUCAGCUCGUGCCGUGAGGUGUCAGGUUAAGUCCUAUAACGAGCGCAACCCCUGUUGUUAGUUGCCAGUGAGUAAUGUCGGGAACUCUAACAAGACUGCCGGUGCAAACCGCGAGGAAGGUGGGGAUGACGUCAAAUCAGCAUGCCCCUUACGCCCUGGGCUACACACGUGCUACAAUGGUCGUGACAAAGGGUCGCUAAUCUGCAAAGACAUGCUAAUCUCAUAAACACGGCCUCAGUUCGGAUUGCAGGCUGAAA
rnacentral:rRNA from 1 species